CUACGGGACGCUCCAGUGGGAAAUAUUGCACAAUGGGCGCAAGCCUGAUGCAACCAUGCCGCGUGUAUGAAGAAGGCCUUCGGGUUGUAAAGUACUUUCAGCGGGGAGGAAGGGAGUAAAGUUAAUACCUUUGCUCAUUGACGUUACCCGCAGAAGAAGCACCGGCUAACUCCGUGCCAGCAGCCGCGGUAAUACGGAGGGUGCAAGCGUUAAUCGGAAUUACUGGGCGUAAAGCGCACGCAGGCGGUUUGUUAAGUCAGAUGUGAAAUCCCCGGGCUCAACCUGGGAACUGCAUCUGAUACUGGCAAGCUUGAGUCUCGUAGAGGGGGGUAGAAUUCCAGGUGUAGCGGUGAAAUGCGUAGAGAUCUGGAGGAAUACCGGUGGCGAAGGCGGCCCCCUGGACGAAGACUGACGCUCAGGUGCGAAAGCGUGGGGAGCAAACAGGAUUAGAUACCCCGGUAGUC
rnacentral:rRNA from 1 species